AUUGAACGCUAGCGGGAUGCCUUACACAUGCAAGUCGAACGGAGUGGCGAACGGGUGAGUAAUGUAUCGGAACGUGCCCAGUAGCGGGGGAUAACGACGCGAAAGAGAAGCUAAUACCGCAUACUAUUGGAGCGGCCGAUAUCGGAGUAGCUAGUUGGUGGGGUAACGGCUCACCAAGGCGACGAUCCGUAGCCGGUUUGAGAGGACGACCAGCCACACUGUGACUGAGACACGGCCCAGACUCCGACGGUAGGCAGCAGUGGGGAAUUUUGGUCAAUGGGUGAAACCCUGAUCCAGCCAUCCCGCGUGUGCGAUGAAGGCCUUCGGGUUGUAAAGCACUUUUGGCAGGAAAGCGGUCCCUGCAUAAUAAGCACCGGCUAACUACGUGCCAGCAGCCGCGGUAAUUC
rnacentral:rRNA from 1 species